rnacentral:rRNA from 1 species
AUGGUAGGAGAGCGUUCUAAGGGCGUCGAAGCAUGAUCGCAAGGACAUGUGGAGCGCUUAGAAGUGAGAAUGCCGGUGUGAGUAGCGAAAGACGGGUGAGAAUCCCGUCCACCGAUUGACUAAGGUUUCCAGAGGAAGGCUCGUCCGCUCUGGGUUAGUCGGGUCCUAAGCUGAGGCCGACAGGCGUAGGCGAUGGAUAACAGGUUGAUAUUCCUGUACCACCUAGUAUCGUUUUAAUCGAUGGGGGGACGCAGUAGGAUAGGCGAAGCGUGCUGUUGGAGUGCACGUCCAAGCAGUAAGGCUGAGUGUUAGGCAAAUCCGGCACUCAUAAGGUUGAGCUGUGAUGGGGAGAGGAAAUUGUUUCCUCGAGUCGUUGAUUUCACACUGCCGAGAAAAGCCUCUAGAUAGAUAACAGGUGCCCGUACCGCAAACCGACACAGGUAGUCAAGAUGAGAAUUCU